AUACGUAGGGAGCGAGCGUUGUCCGGAAUUACUGGGUGUAAAGGGAGCGUAGGCGGGAGUGCAAGUCAGAUGUGAAAUACAUGGGCUCAACCCAUGGGCUGCAUUUGAAACUGCAUUUCUUGAGUGAAGUAGAGGUAAGCGGAAUUCCUGGGGUAGCGGUGAAAUGCGUAGAUAUCAGGAGGAACACCGGUGGCGAAGGCGGCUUACUGGGCUUUUACUGACGCUGAGGCUCGAAAGCGUGGGGAGCAAACAGGAUUAGAUACCCUGGUAGUCCACGCUGUAAACGAUGAUUACUAGGUGUGGGGGGACUGACCCCUUCCGUGCCGCAGUUAACACAAUAAGUAAUCCACCUGGGGAGUACGGCCGCAAGGUUGAAACUCAAAUGAAUGGACGGGG
rnacentral:rRNA from 1 species